rnacentral:rRNA from 1 species
UUUCCCUCAGGAUAGCUGGCACUCGCUUGAGCGAGUCUCAUCUGGUAAAGCGAAUGAUUAGAGGCCUUGGGGCCGAAACGACCUCAACCUAUUCUCAAACUUUAAAUGGGUGAGAUGACUGGCUUGCUUGAACGUUGAAGCCAUGUCAGACACUUAGCGAAGGAUCAGAGUGCCAAGUGGGCCAAUUUUGGUAAGCAGAACUGGCGCUGUGGGA